UUCUGGAGAACAGGCGGAGGUCUUGUAACCUUCAGUCCACAAGCUACGCUAACAAGCCAAUGCCAGGUGACCGCCACCGUGACCAUCUCAGCCCAGGAUGUUUGUUUACUGAGGACUGGUGAGCAUUUAUAGGACAGUAAGGCUUCAUAAAAACCUGAAGUCUCCCCAACGCGACACACACACACACACACACACACACACACACACACACACACACACACACACACACACACACACACACACACACACACACACACACACACACACACACACACACACACACACACACACACACACACACACCUUGGCCGGAUGGAGAGGAGCUUCAGCCAUCCUGGGUCCCUGCUUCUUGGGUCUGUGAAGCCAGGAAACAUUUUGAGUCAAUGUGAACAGGAAUAUUAAAGAGCUGCUUAAACUAACUAAUUAACAAACCAAUAAAAAAUAAAAAACAGGUUGUUUGUUUUGAUUAAAGUUAUAAUUAUAUUAUAUAACUUAUUGUAAGAGCCAUGUUUAGUAAA